rnacentral:rRNA from 1 species
ACGGAAGGCAGCAGUAAGGGAUAUUGGGCAAUGGGGGGAACCCUGACCCAGCCAUGCCGCGUGAGGGAAUGAGGCCCUACGGGUCGUGAACCUCUUUUGCCUGGGGAUAACCCCUCCCGCGCGACGGGGGGCUGCAGGUACCAGGCGAAUAAGCAUCGGCUAACUCCGUGCCAGCAGCCGCGGUAAUACGGAGGAUGCGAGCGUUAUCCGGAUUUAUUGGGUUUAAAGGGUGCGUAGGCGGGAUGUUAAGUCAGCGGUGAAAGCGUGUAGCUCAACUAUACCAAGCCGUUGAAACUGGCGUUCUUGAGUGUAAACGAGGUAGGCGGAAUGUGACGUGUAGCGGUGAAAUGCUUAGAUAUGUCACAGAACCCCGAUUGCGAAGGCAGCUUACCAGCAUACAACUGACGCUGAGGCACGAAAGUGCGGGGAUCAAACAGGAUUAGAUACCCUGGUA